ACUCCUACGGGAGGCAGCAGUGAGGAAUAUUGGUCAAUGGGCGAGAGCCUGAACCAGCCAUGUCGCGUGCAGGAAGACUGCCCUAUGGGUUGUAAACUGCUUUUGUACGGGAAGAAACGCAGCUACGUGUAGCUGUUUGCCGGUACCGUACGAAUAAGCACCGGCUAACUCUGUGCCAGCAGCCGCGGUAAUACAGAGGGUGCGAGCGUUAAUCGGAUUUACUGGGCGUAAAGCGUGCGUAGGCGGCCAUUUAAGUCAAAUGUGAAAUCCCCGAGCUUAACUUGGGAAUUGCAUUCGAUACUGGAUGGCUAGAGUAUGGGAGAGGAUGGUAGAAUUCCAGGUGUAGCGGUGAAAUGCGUAGAGAUCUGGAGGAAUACCGAUGGCGAAGGCAGCCAUCUGGCCUAAUACUGACGCUGAGGUACGAAAGCAUGGGGAGCAAACAGGAUUAGAUACCCUGGUAGGCUCUG
rnacentral:rRNA from 1 species